rnacentral:rRNA from 1 species
GACGAACGCUGGCGGCGUGCCUAAUACAUGCAAGUAGAACGCACAGUUUAUACCGUAGCUUGCUACACCAUAGACUGUGAGUUGCGAACGGGUGAGUAACGCGUAGGUAACCUGCCUGGUAGCGGGUGAUAACUAUUGGAAACGAUAGCUAAUACCGCAUAAUAUUAAUUAUUGCAUGAUAAUUAAUUGAAAGGUGCAAUUGCACCACUACCAGAUGGACCUGCGUUGUAUUAGCUAGUAGGUGAGGUAACGGCUCACCUAGGCGACGAUACAUAGCCGACCUGAGAGGGGGAUCGGCCAAACUGGGACUGAGACACGGCCCAGACUCCUACGGGAGGCAGCAGGAGGGAAUCUUCGGCAAUGGACGAAAGUCUGAACGAGCAACGCCGCGGGAGUGAAGAAGGUUUUCGGAUCGUAAAGCUCUGUUGUAAGAGAAGAACGGGUGUGAGAGUGGAAAGUUCACACUGUGACGGUAUCUUACCAGAAAGGGACGGCUAACUACGUG